UACUUAGUGGCAGACGGGUGAGUAACAUGUAGGUAUCUGCCCUUUGGCCUGGAAUAACACGAGGAAACUUGUGCUAAUACCGGAUAAGUCUUUACGGAGAAAGCUUUAUGCACCAUUGGAGGAGCCUGCACUAGAUUAGUUUGUUGGUGGGGUAAUGGCCUACCAAGACUGUGAUCUAUAGCUGAUUUGAGAGGAUGAUCAGCCACAUUGGGACUGAGACACGGCCCAAACUCCUACGGGAGGCGGCAGUGGGGAAUCUUGCACAAUGGAGGAAACUCUGAUGCAGCGAUGCCGCGUGAGUGAAGAAGGCCUUUGGGUUGUAAAGCUCUUUCGUCGGGGAAGAAAAUGACUGUACCCGAAUAAGAAGGUCCGGCUAACUUCGUGCCAGCAGCCGCGGUAAUACGAAGGGACCUAGCGUAGUUCGGAUUUACUGGGCUUAAAGAGUUCGUAGGUGGUUGAAAAAGUUGGUGGUGAAAUCCCAGAGCUUAACUCUGGAACUGCCAUC
rnacentral:rRNA from 1 species